GCUACAGGCUUAACACAUGCAAGUCGAGGGGUAGCAGGGUAGCAAUACCGCUGACGACCGGCGCACGGGUGAGUAACACGUAUCCAACCUUCCCAUAACUCGGGGAUAGCCUUUCGAAAGAAAGAUUAAUACCCGAUAGUACUUUUUUAGGGCAUCUUAGAAAAGUUAAAGAUUUAUUGGUUAUGGAUGGGGAUGCGUUCCAUUAGAUAGUUGGUGAGGUAACGGCUCACCAAGUCUUCGAUGGAUAGGGGUUCUGAGAGGAAGGUCCCCCGCAUUGGUACUGAGACACGGACCAAACUCCUACGGGAGGCAGCAGUGAGGAAUAUUGGUCAAUGGGCGAGAGCCUGAACCAGCCAAGUAGCGUGAAGGAUGACGG
rnacentral:rRNA from 1 species